rnacentral:pre_miRNA from 1 species
UUUGGCACUAGCACAUUUUUGCUUUGCUUCUUAUUGUUUGGGCAAUCAUGUGUAGUGCCAUUAU